rnacentral:rRNA from 1 species
ACUCCUACGGGAGGCAGCAGCAGGGAAUAUUGCACAAUGGACGGAAGUCUGAUGCAGCGACGCCGCGUGGACGAAGAAGGCCUUCGGGUUGUAAAGUCCUUUUCAGGGGGAAGAGAGAGGACGGUACCCUUGGAAUAAGCAUCGGCUAACUCCGUGCCAGCAGCCGCGGUAAUACGGAGGAUGCAAGCGUUAUCCGGAUUCAUUGGGUUUAAAGGGUGCGUAGGCGGACUAUUAAGUCAGUGGUGAAAGCCUGCAGCUUAACUGCAGAACUGCCAUUGAUACUGAUAGUCUUGAGUUUGGUUAAGGUAGGCGGAAUGUGUAAUGUAGCGGUGAAAUGCUUAGAUAUUACACAGAACACCAAUUGCGUAGGCAGCUUACUGAGCCGACACUGACGCUGAGGCACGAAAGCGUGGGGAUCGAACAGGAUUAGAUACCCUGGUAGUC